rnacentral:rRNA from 2 species
UACGGGGGGUGCGAGCGUUGUCCGGAAUCACUGGGCGUAAAGGGCGCGUAGGUGGCGUGAUAAGGGUGUGGUGAAAGCCCGGGGCUCAACCCCGGGUCUGCCAUGCCGACUGUCAGGCUAGAGUACUGUAGGGGCAGGCGGAAUUCCGGGUGUAGCGGUGGAAUGCGUAGAGAUCCGGAGGAAGACCGGUGGCGAAGGCGGCCUGCUGGGCAGUUACUGACACUGAGGCGCGACAGCGUGGGGAGCAAACAGG